GUCAGCUGAUCCGAGGUGGACGGCGUUCCGCGUGUCGGCCAAUUUCCUUGUAAUCCAGGAUGACACAGACGGCCAUGGAUGGAAGCAAGAUGCUGGACUUUGUGGACCCUGGCGGCCAUGAGGAGGUGUCCAUGGGCGCUGGGCAAGGCCGAGGGCGAGGAGUACAGCACACUGGAUGAGGGGGACCAUGGAUGGUGCAGGGCUCUCAGGAGAUGGACAAGCAGAAACAGGGGACCAGAACUCACAGGUGUUCUUCAUUGAGUGUGUGAGUGCUGCUGUCGUCUCCAUGAACACCUGCUCGGAGGCACCAAGACCCGUCAAGCCAGUAGUCCGCCCUGCAAGACUGCCUGGUCAAGAUGGGGUCCAGCCUUGCACAGAACUGCUUGGCUGGCUGGCUGGCUGGCCAGUGCCACAAGUUGGUGGUGACAAAGUAAUGCCCUCCAUGACUGCUUCAGCCUGAUGGAUGGAUCUCAUGGUAGGGUAUGAUGGGCUGAGAGAGAAGGAUGAUGAUGUAGCAAGGUGUGUGGUGACCCAGGCUGUGGAGGGUGGCUGCCACACUCACUGCUCCAGCCACUCACAGCUGUACCUCAGGAGCCAGACACCAUCUGCUUCACUCCUGCCCAGACUUUGCCACUCACACCCAACAGCUGCUUCAUCUUAAGGAUCAGCGAUGUGGAGCAUGCUGUACCACCACCACCACCUCCACCACCACCAGGGGAGCCACUCACUGCCACAAGAAGGAGGGAAGCAGGCGCAGGAGGACUGGCCGCCUGCAUUGGACCCCCGCAUAACUGACCCGCAUGCAUCAUCUCCCGACAUCAUUGCAGCCUUUUUGGUCCCCUUGGACGUUUAGGGGCACCACGUGCAGAAGCAGCAGCCGUUGCUACAGCUGCCGCAGCACUCGUUGGCGUGGCAGAGGUGGUGGUCACUUUACUGGGGUCGGUCUAUGGGACAGAGGUAGGGUGCGUGGGGGAGGUGGUGAUGGUCCGGGGCGACAGUGUAGACAUAAGCCUACUCCUCAAGCCAAAUUAGCAGCGCUACUAAUGUUAGCGCAGUUAUGAUACGCGCGUAAAGUAGCUGUCCCAUAAGGGAUCUAUCGGCCUGCGGUGACGCAGUCCCAUAUGGGCCCUACCGGCCGGGACGGUUAAGUUGAGGGAGGGAAGUGACGGUGGAGGUUGUUUUGAAAUGUAUUGUUUGCUGCAUCAGCACUGGACCACGGAAGGGGAAGCUUGUUUUGAAAUGUAUUGUUUGCUGCAGCACUGGACCACGGAAGGGGAAGCUUGUUUUGAAAUGUAUUGUUUGCUGCAGCACUGGACCACGGAAGGGAAGGUUGUUUUGAAAUGUAUUGUUUGCUGCAGCACUGGACCACGGAAGGGAAGGUUGUUUUGAAAUGUAUUGUUUGCUGCAGCACUGGACCACGGAAGGGAAGCUUGUUUUGAAAUGUAUUGUUUGCUGCAGCACUGGACCACGGAAGGGAAGCUUGUUUUGAAAUGUAUUGUUUGCUGCAGCACUGGACCACGGAAGGGGAAGCUUGUUUUGAAAUGUAUUGUUUGCUGCUGCAGCACUGGACCACGGAAGGGGAAGCUUGUUUUGAAAUGUAUUGUUUGCUGCUGCAGCACUGGACCACGGAAGGGGAAGCUUGUUUUGAAAUGUAUUGUUUGCUGCAGCACUGGACCACGGAAGGGGAAGCUUGUUUUGAAAUGUAUUGUUUGCUGCAGCACUGGACCACGGAAGGGGAAGCUUGUUUUGAAAUGUAUUGUUUGCUGCAGCACUGGACCACGGAAGGGAAGCUUGUUUUGAAAUGUAUUGUUUGCUGCAGCACUGGACCACGGAAGGGAAGCUUGUUUUGAAAUGUAUUGUUUGCUGCAGCACUGGACCACGGAAGGGAAGCUUGUUUUGAAAUGUAUUGUUUGCUGCAGCACUGGACCACGGAAGGGAAGGUUGUUUUGAAAUGUAUUGUUUGCUGCAGCACUGGACCACGGAAGGGAAGCUUGUUUUGAAAUGUAUUGUUUGCUGCAGCACUGGACCACGGAAGGGGAAGCUUGUUUUGAAAUGUAUUGUUUGCUGCAGCACUGGACCACGGAAGGGGAAGCUUGUUUUGAAAUGUAUUGUUUGCUGCAGCACUGGACCACGGAAGGGGAAGCUUGUUCAGCGCUGGGAAUGUGUCUUCAAUGAAUCAAUUUGUUUACGCUUAAGUUUGCUCUCUCUCUCUCUCUCUCUCUCUCUCUCUCUCUCUCUCUCUCUCUCUCUCUCUCUCUCUCUCUCUCUCUCUCUCUCUCUCUCUCUCUCUCUCUCUCUCUCUCUCUCUCUCUCUCAAGCUUGACUCUGAAUAAGAAAAAAAGUAAACAAAUUGAAUUAAAUAAAAAAAAAUCCCUCUUGUGUCGCUUGUGCUUCCCAACAAACAAACAAACAAACAAAAAAUACAUAAAUAAAAUAAAUAAAAAUAAAUCCAUAAAGGUGUUCAUCUGAUUUUUCUUCUUUCAAUAUAAUUUUUUCUCCUUUUUUAUUUGCUUUUUUUUUUCUUUUCAUGAAUUUAUUACUAUCUCAAUUGUUUACACAGGCAGAAGAAGAAGAAGAAGAAGAAGAAAACACACAGAGAGAGAAGAGGAGGAAGAAGAAGAGGAAGGACUUGUAAUAUGGCAGACAUCAAACCAAUGGAUGUGUGAAGAAGAAAAAGAAGAGGAAGAAGAAGAAGAAGAAGAAGACUCUGCUCACAAGUAAGAAAUUCUGUGUCCCCGCUGUACCUCAUUGGAGAAGAAUCGAGCGGUUGAGUGGACUCCAUCUCUUGAGGGGCGGCUUCGUAUCCCAGCGUGAUCUCCUGCAAGGCAUCCCAGCACACACCACAUGCUCUGGAGGGGGAGAGAAAGUCAAGAUGAAUUGGCCUUGUCUUGGAGGAAAUGUACUCUGUUUUGAUUUUGCUCUCAAUAAACAUAGACCCUAA